rnacentral:lncRNA from 1 species
GACAAGGCUUGUGAGAACCACCUGUGCCGAGCUAGACUCUUCCGUCAGACAAAAGCUGUGAGCAGCAUAUCCAUUGCCACGAAGGUCAAGGUUCCUGUUGGCUACUGUUCAGAGGGGACUCCACUAGAGGUGCUGCCGAAAGACAGUGCUCCUGCAAGCACUGUCCAGCAGAGCAACGCCUAUCGCAUCAAAGGACGGGUCCUACAGAAGCAAGUCAAAGGGCCUGCAGAUGGUGCCAGCAGUCGGCAAAAGCAGCAGCCAGACGCCCGC